GCCCUCGGUGCGCCUGACCCCCACCACCAUGCUGUACUCGGGGCGCUCGCAGGACGGCAGCCACAUCCUGAAAAGCGCCCGGUACCUGCAGCAGGAGCUGCCCGUGCGCAUCGCCCACCGCAUCCAGGGCUUCCGGAACCUUCCCUUCAUCAUCGGCUGCAACCCCACCAUCCUGCACGUGCACGAGCUCUACAUCCGCGCCUUCCAGAAACUGAGCGACUUCCCCCCGAUCCAGGUGUGCAGUGACGAGUGGCGU